GGGGGACAGGGUGACAGGUGGUGCAUGGUUGUCGUCAGCUCGUGUCGUGAGAUGUUGGGUUAAGUCCCGCAACCGAGCGCAACCCUCGACCUUAGUUGCCAGCAUUCAGUUGGGCACUCUAAGGUGACUGCCGGCUAAAAGUCGGAGGAAGGUGGGGAUGACGUCAAAUCAUCAUGCCCCUUAUGACCUGGGCUACACACGUGCUACAAUGGGCGGUACAAAGGGUCGCGAACCCGCGAGGGGGAGCCAAUCCCAAAAAGCCGCUCUCAGUUCGGAUUGCAGGCUGCAACUCGCCUGCAUGAAGCCGGAAUCGCUAGUAAUCGCGGAUCAGCAUGCCGCGGUCGAAUACGUUCCCGGGCCUU
rnacentral:rRNA from 1 species